rnacentral:rRNA from 1 species
UACAGAGGUCCCGAGCGUUGUUCGGAUUCAUUGGGCGUAAAGGGUGCGUAGGCGGCGGGGCAAGUCUGAUGUGAAAUCCCGGGGCUCAACCCCGGAACUGCAUUGGAUACUGCCUUGCUUGAGUACUGGAGAGGGAACUGGAAUUUACGGUGUAGCAGUGAAAUGCGUAGAGAUCGUAAGGAAGGCCAGUGGCGAAGGCGAGUUCCUGGACAGUAACUGACGCUGAGGCACGAAGGCCAGGGGAGCAAACGGG